UACGUAGGGUCCGAGCGUUUGUCCGGAAUUACUGGGCGUAAAGAGCUCGUAGGUGGUUUGUCGCGUUGUUCGUGAAAACUCACAGCUUAACUGUGGGCGUGCGGGCGAUACGGGCAGACUGGAGUACUGCAGGGGAGACUGGAAUUCCUGGUGUAGCGGUGAAAUGCGCAGAUAUCAGGAGGAACACCGGUGGCGAAGGCGGGUCUCUGGGCCGAUAUUGACGCUGGAGGAGCGAAAGCGUGGGGAGCGAACAGG
rnacentral:rRNA from 1 species